AAGAAAAGGAGGGGAAGGGCAUAGAACACAUCUAGGAGAAGGGGACACCUCUUUCUCAAAGAGCAGGUCAGAGGAGACUUCUCUGAUAAGGUGCCAUUGACCGGGACCUGGAUGAAGUUAGAACCUGAAACAAACAAAUAUCUGGAUGAGAGCUUUGUCUGACUGAGAGAAGAGAAAGUAAAGAGGUCCCAGGACCUGAGACUACCGGAUGUGUUGACAGAAAAGAACAAGCCCAGGGUUGCCGGAGUGGGUAGAAAAACAGAUGCAGUGAGAUUAGGUGACUUUCUCCAGAUCACCCACACCCACCAAAUCAGGAGUGGAACACAGGUCUCCCCAUGGAUUAGUGACAAAAAAGCUCACAGGGAGAGACGGAACGUUCCAUGUCAAGGGAUCUAUUUCAGAUUUUAUUUAUUUGAGAAAGAGAGCAUGGGGGCCAGAGGAAGAGGAAGAAGCAAACUCCCUGCUGAGAAGGGAGCUCGACAAAGACUCAAGACUCCAUCCCAGGACUUUGUGAUCAGGACCCAAGCUGGAGGCAGACGUUUUACUUACUGAGGCACCCAGGCGCCCCAACCUUCAC
rnacentral:lncRNA from 1 species